rnacentral:rRNA from 1 species
UGAGUACGAGAUGCUACGGCGUCGAAGCAGUCUAUGUCAUACUUCCAAGAAAAGCUUGCACUGUCAUAAACAAAGAAUGCCUGUACCAUAACCGACACAGGUGGGUAGGUAGAGUAUACUAAGGGGCGCGAGAUAACUCUCUCUAAGGAACUCGGCAAAAUGACUCCGUAACUUCGGGAGAAGGAGUGCCUUAUUUUUAAGGUUGCAAUAACAAGAUCCAAGCAACUGUUUACCAAAAACACAGGUCUCCGCUAAGUCGUAAGACGAUGUAUGGGGGCUGACGCCUGCCCAGUGCCAGAAGGUUAAAGAAGUUGGUUAGCAUUCGCGAAGCUGAUAACUGAAGCCCUGGUGAACGGCGGCCGUAACGAUAACGGUCCUAAGGUAGCGAAAUUCCUUGUCGGGUAAGUUCCGACCCGCACGAAAGGCGUAAUGAUUUGGAUACUGUCUCGGAGAGGGGCUCGGUGAAAUAGACUUGUCUGUGAAGAUGCGGACUACCUGCACCUGGACAGAAAGACCCUAUGAAGCUUUACUGUAACUUGAGAUUGAAAUUGGACUUUAUUUGCGCAGUAUAGGUGGGAGGCGUUGAGAAUAAUCUUGCGGGAUUAUGGGAGCCAUCAGUGAGAUACCACUCUUGUAAUGUUAGAUUUCUAACUUUGUAUCAUUAUCUGGUCAAAGAACAGUUUCAGGCGGGCAGUUUGACUGGGGCGGUCGCCUCCCAAAGGGUAACGGAGGCGCACAAAGGUUUCCUCUGAACGGGUAGAAAUCGUAUCUAGAGUGUAAAGGCAUAAGGAAGCUUGACUGUGAGACCUACAAGUCGAGCAGGGACGAAAGUCGGUCUUAGUGAUCUGACGGUGCUGAGUGGAAAGGCCGUCACUCAACGGAUAAAAGUUACUCUAGGAUAACAGGCUGAUCUCCCCCAAGAGUUCACAUCGACGGGGAGGUUUGGCACCUCGAUGUCGGCUCAUCGCAUCCUGGGGCGGUAGUACGUCCCAAGGGUUGGGCUGUUCGCCCAUGAAAGCGGUACGCGAGCUGGGUUCAGAACGUCGUGAGACAGUUCGGUCCAUAUCCGUGUAGGCGUUAGAAUAUUGAAAGGAGCCUUCUCUAGUACGAGAGGACCGAGAAGGACAUACCUCUGGUGUACCAGUUAUCGUGCCAACGGUAAACGCUGGGUAGCUAUGUAUGGAGUGGAUAACCGCUGAAAGCAUCUAAGUGGGAAGCCCACCUUAAGAUAAGUAUUCUCAU